rnacentral:misc_RNA from 1 species
UUGAUUUUAAAAGGAUGUGCUGGCUCCUCACGGGGUAUGUGCACUCCUAACAAAACCAAUAUCCACCUGUGCACUCUUUGUAGACAGGACUUCAUAGUCCUUGUCUAUGUUCUUUACAAACACUUGAACUAUUUUGAAUGUCUUUACAAAAACAUAAUUGUAAUA